rnacentral:misc_RNA from 1 species
GAAAUGCGAUAAUUAAUGUGAAUUGCAGAAUUCAGUGAAUCAUCGAGUCUUUGAACGCACAUUGCGCCCCCUGGUAUUCCGGGGUGCAUGCCUGUCCGAGCGUCAUUGCUGCCCUCAAGCACGGCUUGUGUGUUGGGCUUCCGUCCCUGGCAACAGGGACGGGCCCAAAAGGCAGUGGCGGCACCAUGUCUGGUCCUCGAGCGUAUGGGGCUUUGUCACCCGCUCCCGUAGGUCCAGCUGGCAGCUAGCCUCGCAACCAAUCUUUUUAACCAGGUUGACCUCGGAUCAGGUAGGGAUACCCGCUGAACUUAAGC